rnacentral:lncRNA from 1 species
UAAGUGCGUCAGUUGUGGAGUGGCGUAGACGAGUUAAGUCCUGGUCUGCGUGGAGGUCGACGACUCCGUCGCAGACUACGGACCUGUCUGGGUCUCAGCCGCCAAAGACCCCGUCCGGUAGGAAGUACUAGCCGGACAUCAUGAGUGGCUGUCGGGUAUUCAUCGGGAGACUAAAUCCAGCGGCCAGGGAGAAGGACGUGGAAAGAUUCUUCAAGGGAUAUGGACGGAUAAGAGAUAUUGAUCUGAAAAGAGGCUUUGGUUUUGUGGAAUUUGAGGAUCCAAGGGAUGCAGAUGAUGCUGUGUAUGAGCUUGAUGGAAAAGAACUCUGUAGUGAAAGGGUUACUAUUGAACAUGCUAGGGCUCGGUCACGAGGUGGAAGAGGUAGAGGACGAUACUCUGACCGUUUUAGUAGUCGCAGACCUCGAAAUGAUAGACGAAAUGCUCCACCUGUAAGAACAGAAAAUCGUCUUAUAGUUGAGAAUUUAUCCUCAAGAGUCAGCUGGCAGGAUCUCAAAGAUUUCAUGAGACAAGCUGGGGAAGUAACGUUUGCGGAUGCACACCGACCUAAAUUAAAUGAAGGGGUGGUUGAGUUUGCCUCUUAUGGUGACUUAAAGAAUGCUAUUGAAAAACUUUCUGGAAAGGAAAUAAAUGGGAGAAAAAUAAAAUUAAUUGAAGGCAGCAAAAGGCACAGGUCAAGAAGCAGGUCUCGAUCCCGGACCAGAAGUUCCUCUAGGUCUCGUAGCCGAUCCCGUUCCCGUAGUCGCAAAUCUUACAGCCGGUCAAGAAGCAGGAGCAGGAGCCGGAGCCGGAGCAAGUCCCGUUCUGUUAGUAGGUCUCCCGUGCCUGAGAAGAGCCAGAAACGUGGUUCUUCAAGUAGAUCUAAGUCUCCAGCAUCUGUGGAUCGCCAGAGGUCCCGGUCCCGAUCAAGGUCCAGAUCAGUUGACAGUGGCAAUUAAACUGUAAAUAACUUGCCCUGGGGGCCUUUUUUUAAAAAACAAAAACCACAAAAAUUCCCAAACCAUACUUGCUAAAAAUUCUGGUAAGUAUGUGCUUUUCUGUGGGGGUGGGAUUUGGAAGGGGGGUUGGGUUGGGCUGGAUAUCUUUGUAGAUGUGGACCACCAAGGGGUUGUUGAAAACUAAUUGUAUUAAAUGUCUUUUGAUAAGCCUUCUGCUCACAUUUUUGUGAAUGUCUGAAGUAUAUAGUUUGUGUAUAUUGACAGAGCUCUUUUAUAACUAAAGCAAAUUUAAUUUUUUUGUACUAGAAAAAAAUUUGAACAUUUUAGUUCUUGGUUAUAAAAAUGUUAAUUCAGAAUUAGUUUAAUGCCUUAAUUAAACUAAUUAAUAGCUUUGGACACUUAAAAGAGCUCUAAAUUUGCUUGUACAUAAAGGCUUAAUUUGUUUUCCUUGUUAGGGUCAAGGGUGUCCUCCACUCUUUAACAGCUGCUGGACAGACACAUUAGAGCAGCUGUUUGUUAUUGAUAAUAAAAUAUUAUAAAACU